rnacentral:lncRNA from 1 species
AUUUAUCCCUGGAGUGCAUGCGGUGCUCAGUGACUGCCAGGAGGGCUCAGAGCCAUCAGAGGAGGAAGAAGCUUGCCAGCACGGAUGGAGUGAGGAUUCCCACUGGGCUGAGCAUCCCCACAGUGCUGGGCUCUGCAAAAUGGCUUCAGGGGAGCAGAGCAACCUUUCAAAACAUCUGCAAGGAUAAAGAGGAUGAAAGGGAAGAGGCGGGCAACACUUUGCAUUUCUCUGAGGAGCUUUGCACGGAAAAAUGCAUGCAGGGGAAAAGCUGAGCACUUUGCAGCACGCAGCUCAGCCCUGCUCGCCUCCAGCCUGCAAUUAAGCUCAUCGCGUUCCCCACCGCAGCAGGAUUGGACUCCUGGCGCUGCUGCUGCAAUCCAGACGAAAGCAUCAACUUUCCCCCGACUGCCAGGAUGUUUCUUGGGCCAAAAACACAAAUUCAAGAAUUCAAGCACAUUGAAGAAACCCAGCUAGGAACAAGAACCCAUCACUGACUUCGCUCCUGCUGCACCGGCCCACAGCAUGACAGCUCUCAGCCCUUACCUUUCUAUUUUACACAGCGUGGCUCUACGCUUACGUAAUUCACAUAAGCUUGCAGUGCAUUUUGGAUUUUCCAUGGCAGAUAAGGAGGUGUGUGCCACAGUUUUCCAUUUGCUUCACAUCUCCAUCGUCGGCCUUUAAGGUUUCUGAGUUGGAAGGACUUCUCCUCUCCAUGUAAAUACUCCUCGGUGGCUCGUGAGGAUCCGAUGCAGAAUAGGAAGCACUGCUCUGCCCAACCCCUACGCAACAUGCUUUAUUUCUACAGCAAAAUCAAACAGCACUUUGGGAGCUCCCAUCGCCUUCCAUUUGAGCCUCAGAAUCGCUCCUUUGCCAUCGUAGGAGCAACAUUCCUUUAGAACACAUCCAUUCUCUAACAGCAGGGAAAUCAAAACCAAAAUUCCCUUCAGAGGGCAAUAAAAAAGCCAACAG